AAAAAUUGAUUGAUGAUAAAACUGCAAUAAGAUCAUUAAGAACAAUAUUUCUGAAUAGCCUGUUUAUAUUAUGCUUUGUAAUGUUGCAUUCAUUUAAUUUAAUUGAGUUUUUAAUUUUUAUUAAUGUAUUCACUAAUGUUUCAGAUCCAUAACGAUGAUUGUUUUAUAUUUGUCAUGCAUUUAUGUAACCAUUGCUUUGUCUGCAUUUAGUUUUAUGCAUUUUGUGCCCUUGUUUGUGAACCUUUGUUCUGUUUCAUGUUUUCUGUAGUUAUGCAAGCUACUUGAAGCUGAAUUUCCCAAAAUGAGACCACUUACUGGAGGUUGGCUGCUUUAUAAGGCCCCAGGUGCACUGUAUUGUCAUCCAAACCAGACCCCAGCUCGUGAAGAGCUAAACACAACAUGUUUAGUGCAAAUGUACAAGUGAUAUCUUGAGUGGUGUUAUAGACACAGGGUUAGAAUUGAACCUUUCUCUUGACAUCCCUAAGCUGACAUGUGUAUACAUUAGAACUGACUCCUUUAUAGCAUUGCACAGGGAAGGGAUAUUAGGAUAUGGGUAGAAAGUCCUGGUUAUUAUUAUUGAAACACAAAAGAAGAUAUUUUAAAGAAUGUUGGUAACCAAGCAACAUUGGUGCCUAUUGACUUCCAUUGUAUGGCAAAAACAAACAAACAAAAAAACAAAAAAAAAAAAAAAAAAAACAGACAUUUCUCAAAAUAUCUUCUUUUGUGUUCCACAGAAGAAAGAAAGUUUACAGGUUUGGAAGGACAUGAGGGUGAGUAAAUGAUGACAGAAUUUUCAUUUUUGGGUGUACUAUUCCUUUAAGAAUAUAGAACGUAUGGGGCCUGAGUAGCUUAGUGGUAAUAUAAGCUGGCCACCACCCCUGGAGUUGGCUAGUUCGAAUCACAGGGCAUGCUGAGUGACUCCAGCCAGGUCUCCUAAGCAACCAAAUUGGCCCGGUUGCUAGGGAGGGUAGAGUCACAUGGGGUAACCUCCUUGUGGUCGCUAUAAUAUGGUUCGUUCUAGGUGGGGCGCGUGGUGAGUUGAGCGCGGAUUCCGCGGUGGAUGGCGUGAAGCCUCCACACGCGCUACGUCUCCGUGGCAACGCGCUCAACAAGCCACGUGAUAAGAUUGAUGGUCUCAGACGCAGAUCUGCCACCCGGAUUGAGGCGAAUCACUACGCGACCACGAGGACUUAAAAGCGCACUGGGAAUUGGUGGAAAAGGAAGGGAAUUUUUUUUUAAUAGAAUUUAUGACCUAUAAAUUGUCCAGAUGAUGAACUGCAUUUGAUGUUGUUGUAGACAGCAAGGAUUUCAAGAUUUGCGUGUCUCACAUAGACUUCUUUCAAAGAGCUAUGGUACAGUGGCAGCGCCAAAAGAGAGGAACUCCUGGCAACACUUUGCGUGUAACAUUUUUGGGGGAAGCAGAUGUUGAUACAGGUGCCAUUCAAAAGGAAUUUCUUACAGAUCUGUUGUGCUGCAUGCAUAUUCUGCAUCUGAUCCCAGUGUUGAAGUAAGUCCGAAAAGGUCUUCAAGUGUACAAUUUUGUGGACAGCUUGUGCCAACAUUUCUUUGUCCCCAGUGCAGUGGACGAUGAUGACGAUAAGAUUUUAUCAUGCAGAGCAUUCUUCCUGAACUAUCGGAGAAAGAAACAGUACAAGAGACCCGUGAAACAGCCAUCAUCAACUUCCUACAAAAUUUUCUUCAGGAAAUUUAAAGCGCUGAGGAUAACCCUGAUGGAGACACCCUGCCCCUAACUGUUGUGUCCCUGGCUUACCGGCCAGGGACACAAGCCUCUUCUUAUGUCAGAACUUAGGGAAUUCAAAAUCUCUUUGAAUUUUGACCACGAGUGCAUGCAGAGGAUGCCAGAGCACAAGAUUUGCUUCCCAGUUGUAAGUGCCUGUGCCAGAAAAAUUACAUUGAAUUAUAGUUGUCCAUGUGUGCUGUAGGCAUUCAAAAUAGUCAUGUUGCAAGCCAUCCAUUUUGACACUGGAUUCAACAGAGUUUAAAAUAUAAGCAAUGCUACUAAAUUUUA